rfam:Anolis carolinensis unplaced genomic scaffold chrTn0442, whole genome shotgun sequence.
GCAUGUGAGGGCAAUCUGGCUGUGACAUCUGUCACCCCAUUGAUCGCCAGGGUUGAUUUGGCUGAUCUGGCUGGCUUGGCGGGUGUCCCCUUCCUCCCUCACUGCUCCAUGUGGGUCCUUCCUGAAGCUGUGCGCUCAGUGGAAGAAGACGAUGUCCCAGGUAUAGAAGGAGUGUACCGAGAUCUCCAGUCUUCAGUCCUGGGUAUACGAUAGCUGCACUCCCCUGCUAGAACCUCCAAACAAGCUCAAGAAAGAUCAUUUGUUGUUUGAGUAUGAUGGCUUUUCAAGUUCAGUGUCUUGGCAGUGGAUAUGCAGGUGAUU